GAGGUAUGGGGUUCGACUCACACAAUACCCAAAAAACAAAAUAAUAGAAAAGUCCCUAUGCUGGGCAUUCAUUCACUGGACGCGCGUUCUAUGUUCAUUUUUCCCCAAAUUGCUUUAGCCAUUCUCGUCUUCCAUCUCAGAUGCAAACCCUUCAAUUUCACUUUCAUUAUCAGAUUUUCCAGUCAAAUGGAAAUAGGUCACCCUAUCAAUCAACACUUCCCUCCUCGCUCACCUCGGUGCAUCCAACAUCACUGUUCUCUCAUCACCCAGAAAACCCUAAUCUUCUUCCGCGCCAUCCAAAUCAAGACAGAAAAUAGCUGAGGAGUGGAAUCCUUAGUCAAUCAAAGUUGAAAGUUCAGGCUGGGUUUAUGUUUUGUAUUAGUAAUUGAAAAAAGAAGAAAAGAAGGAUAUUCAUUGCCACCAAACCCUCCAUAUAGUAGAUUGGCUGGGUCAUAUCUGGCACUUACAAGCGAGGUAUCUAUAGUAUGUUCUUGCUUAUAUGUAACCUGUAAUCUAAUGACUAUGAUUAUUGGGAAGCACUUAGUUUUGUUUGUUUUUAGAUUUUGCGGGGGAAUGGAUGCUAAGGGUUACAAUAUUUUCUUUUCAAUUACAAAUGCAUUAGAUUUUCCUAUUAUUUGUUCUUGUUCGUGAUUGUCUUUGCUAGAAUGAUGUGAGAUCAAUAUAUUUCUAAGCCACAGCAUAAAAGAACGUAGCUAUAAUCUCUACCUAAUUUCAUAUUUCUUGCAGCUUUUUUGUAGGUUGGGAAUUGCAGCAUUUUUAUAUCACUAGAGUGUUAUAUUAUAUCACUAUGAAUAUCCUUGUUUGAAUCUUAUAGACUAUGAAAGCAUUACCCGUCCAUUGUAAACUUAUGAAGCAUGACAUACUUGAGCUCCGUCUUGCAUUAGUGCUUCUUUUUGCUCAUUUCUAGCCCCAUUACUAUUCUUAUAAAUGUCUUAAUGUAAAAAAAUUGACACUUCCUUACUGAUACAUGAACUAAAAGUCUGGCUAAAAGUAUGUAAGACUUUUUGCUAUUCAAUUUUCCAUCUUUCUCUAUUUGCUUAUUUUUGUUUCUUCCCAUUUUUCUCUCAGCUUUCCCUGCCCUUGGUAUCAGAAGGUGCCUCUUUCCCCUGCACUCAGCCUACAAUAUUUCAGAGGUUGCAAAUUUCAAGCGUGAGAUCAUACAUGCAUCCUCACCUGGAAUCAUGGUGUACAUUUAUUUUCUUGUUCUUUCGGUGGUAAAGUGUAGACGACAAUUACCAAAAUUAUUUUGUAGGUAUAUCUUCGGUGCUCUUAUCAUCGCUAAAUUAUUGUCUGUCCCCAUUGUGAUGUCUUACCAUACUCAUGUUUUCAUGUGAUGAUCUACUUCAAGUUUUCAGCAUAUAAUGUGUCAGAUAUGGUGUUGGAUUCAUAUAUAACUGCUUGUCAGAAAAUAAAAUAUCAUUUUUGAAGGCUGAACAUUGUUUUAUUUUGGUAUGCAGAUAUAUACCAAGAUACACCUUCAGUUGGUUAGUGAAAGCCAUGUGGGAUCAAAGUUUCUAGUUAGCAUAUUUCAUCUGCUAUAGUUUCAUUCUAAUUGUUCAACUUUCAUUUUGCAGCCUCUAAUCACCCUAUUUUUGACUUCGUAUUCAUAUGUUUCUCCAAUAUCACUAUAAUUAUAUUGCAGUGGAGAUAUGUAGGCUGCUAUUGAUAGUGUAUUAAAGGCCUCUCAAAGUAGUGAAUGAAGGUAGUGGAGAUCAGCCCCAGUAUUGCAUGUCUCCUGUCAUAUGAGAUAAAUAGGUUAUGAACUUGUAAUUAUGAAUUGUUUAGUAGAUUGUACUUGUAGCUUAGAAUACAAUUAUGUGUAAUAAUAAGUGUCUUCUUUUAUGUCCAAGGACAUCCGUUUUGGAUUUAAUGAUUCUUUGUAAAUGUCCUCUUUUCUUUUUAAGGACACUUUUUAUUGAUACAAGAACUUUU